rnacentral:tRNA from 6 species
AGGGUUCAAGUCCCUCUAUCCCCN